ACAUGCAAGUCGAACGAACUUAACCUAUUCUUAACGAUUAGGAGCGGUUAGUGGCGGACUGGUGAGUAAUGUAUAAGUAACCUGCCUAUCAGAGGGGAACAACAGUUGGAAACGACUGCUAAUACCGCAUAUGCCACGAGAAUCACAUGGUUCAAGUGGGAAAGGAGCAAUCCGCUGAUAGAUGGACUUAUAUCUGAUUAGCUAGUUGGUGGGGUAAUGGCCUACCAAGGCGACGAUCAGUAGCCGGACUGAGAGGUUAAACGGCCACAUUGGGACUGAGAUACGGCCCAGACUCCUACGGGAGGCAGCAGUCGGGAAUAUUGCGCAAUGGAGGAAACUCUGACGCAGUGACGCCGCGUGCAGGAAGAAGGUUUUCGGAUUGUAAACUGCUUUAGACAGGGAAGAAAAAAGACAGUACCUGUAGAAUAAGCUCCGGCUAACUACGUGCCAGCAGCCGCGGUAAUACGUAGGGAGCGAGCGUUAUCCGGAUUUAUUGGGUGUAAAGGGUGCGUAGACGGGAAAUUAAGUUAGUUGUGAAAUCCCACGGCUCAACUGUGGAACUGCAACUAAAACUGAUUUUCUUGAGUACUGGAGAGGAAAGUGGAAUUCCUAGUGUAGCGGUGAAAUGCGUAGAUAUUAGGAGGAACACCAGUGGCGAAGGCGACUUUCUGGACAGAAACUGACGUUGAGGCACGAAAGUGUGGGGAGCAAACAGGAUUAGAUACCCUGGUAGUCCACACCGUAAACGAUGGAUACUAGGUGUAGGGUGUGAUAAACAUUCUGUGCCGUCGCAAACGCAAUAAGUAUCCCACCUGGGG
rnacentral:rRNA from 1 species